UAGUUCCUUUUUAAUGGCAAG
ensembl:piRNA 21ur-10768 ncRNA